UACGACUACAUAUCAGGCAUAUCAAUAAGCGGAGGAAAAGAAACUAACUAGGAUUCCCUUAGUAACGGCGAGUGAAGCGGGAAGAGCUCAAAUUUGAAAUCUUCAAGGUUCUACCUUGACGAAUUGUAGUUUAAAGAAGUGUUUUCUGUUAGUGGAGUGGCAAAAGUUCUCUGGAAUAGGACAUCAUAGAGGGUGAGAAUCCCGUAUUUGGUCAUUCCUUCUAGCUUUGUGAUACACUUUCAAAGAGUCGGAUUGUUUGGGAAUGCAGUCCAAAAUGGGUGGUAAAUUUCAUCUAAAGCUAAAUAUUGGCGAGAGACCGAUAGCGAACAAGUACCGUGAGGGAAAGAUGAAAAGAACUUUGAAAAGAGAGUUAAACAGUACGUGAAAUUGUCAAAAGGGAAGCGUUUGACACCAGUGUUGUUUUCUCGAAAAUCAAUUAAAAAUGACCGGAUUUUGUGUUGUAUUGACUUUAUCAGCUUUCUGCACUUUUUUCUUGUCUUUUUAAUGCACUUUUCGUUUAACAAGUCAACAUCAAUUUCUUUUGUUGUAAAAGGGUCAUUGGAAGGUGGCUUUCACUUCGGUGAAAGUGUUUAUAGCCUUUGGCUUCUACAAUCGGAGAGAUUGAGGUCUGCAGCGUAGAUCCUUCGGGGUUAGAUACGUAGAUGCUAAGUUAUAGUUUUUUAUAGACAACUUGUUGACUAUGAUUAAUCAUGUAGCUUACUCGUUUACGCUAUUUUACCUACGCUUAGGAUGUUGAUCUCUCACAGUCGAGC
rnacentral:rRNA from 1 species